rnacentral:rRNA from 1 species
GGUUAAGCGACUAAGCGUACACGGUGGAUGCCCUGGCAGUCAGAGGCGAUGAAGGACGUGCUAAUCUGCGAAAAGCGUCGGUAAGGUGAUAUGAACCGUUAUAACCGGCGAUGUCCGAAUGGGGAAACCCAGUGCAAUUCGUUGCACUAUCGUUAACUGAAUACAUAGGUUAACGAGGCGAACCGGGGGAACUGAAACAUCUAAGUACCCCGAGGAAAAGAAAUCAACCGAGAUUCCCCCAGUAGCGGCGAGCGAACGGGGAGCAGCCCAGAGUCUGAAUCAGCUUGUGUGUUAGUGGAACGGUCUGGAAAGUCCGACGGUACAGGGUGAUAGUCCCGUACACCAAAAUGCACAGGCUGUGAACUCGAAGAGUAGGGCGGGACACGUGGUAUCCUGUCUGAAUAUGGGGGGACCAUCCUCCAAGGCUAAAUACUCCUGACUGACCGAUAGUGAACCAGUACCGUGAGGGAAAGGCGAAAAGAACCCCGGCGAGGGGAGUGAAAAAGAACCUGAAACCGUGUACGUACAAGCAGUGGGAGCACCUUCGGGUGUGACUGCGUACCUUUUGUAUAAUGGGUCAGCGACUUAUAUUCUGUAGCAAGGUUAACCGUAUAGGGGAGCCGCAGGGAAACCGAGUCUUAACUGGGCGUUAAGUUGCAGGGUAUAGACCCGAAACCCGGUGAUCUAGCCAUGGGCAGGUUGAAGGUUGGGUAACACUAACUGGAGGACCGAACCGACUAAUGUUGAAAAAUUAGCGGAUGACUUGUGGCUGGGGGUGAAAGGCCAAUCAAACCGGGAGAUAGCUGGUUCUCCCCGAAAGCUAUUUAGGUAGCGCCUCGUGAAUUCAUCUUCGGGGGUAGAGCACUGUUUCGGCUAGGGGGUCAUCCCGACUUACCAACCCGAUGCAAACUACGAAUACCGAAGAAUGUUAUCACGGGAGACACACGGCGGGUGCUAACGUCCGUCGUGAAGAGGGAAACAACCCAGACCGCCAGCUAAGGUCCCAAAGUCAUGGUUAAGUGGGAAACGAUGUGGGAAGGCACAGACAGCCAGGAUGUUGGCUUAGAAGCAGCCAUCAUUUAAAGAAAGCGUAAUAGCUCACUGGUCGAGUCGGCCUGCGCGGAAGAUGUAACGGGGCUAAACCAUGCACCGAAGCUGCGGCAGCGACACUAUGUGUUGUUGGGUAGGGGAGCGUUCUGUAAGCCUGCGAAGGUGUGCUGUGAGGCAUGCUGGAGGUAUCAGAAGUGCGAAUGCUGACAUAAGUAACGAUAAAGCGGGUGAAAAGCCCGCUCGCCGGAAGACCAAGGGUUCCUGUCCAACGUUAAUCGGGGCAGGGUGAGUCGACCCCUAAGGCGAGGCCGAAAGGCGUAGUCGAUGGGAAACAGGUUAAUAUUCCUGUACUUGGUGUUACUGCGAAGGGGGGACGGAGAAGGCUAUGUUAGCCGGGCGACGGUUGUCCCGGUUUAAGCAUGUAGGCUGAUUAUCCAGGCAAAUCCGGAUAAUCAAGGCUGAGGUGUGAUGACGAGGCACUACGGUGCUGAAGUAACAAAUGCCCUGCUUCCAGGAAAAGCCUCUAAGCAUCAGGUAACAUCAAAUCGUACCCCAAACCGACACAGGUGGUCAGGUAGAGAAUACCAAGGCGCUUGAGAGAACUCGGGUGAAGGAACUAGGCAAAAUGGUGCCGUAACUUCGGGAGAAGGCACGCUGGUGUGUAGGUGAAGUCCCUGCGGAUGGAGCUGAGACCAGUCGAAGAUACCAGCUGGCUGCAACUGUUUAUUAAAAACACAGCACUGUGCAAACACGAAAGUGGACGUAUACGGUGUGACGCCUGCCCGGUGCCGGAAGGUUAAUUGAUGGGGUUAUCCGUAAGGAGAAGCUCUUGAUCGAAGCCCCGGUAAACGGCGGCCGUAACUAUAACGGUCCUAAGGUAGCGAAAUUCCUUGUCGGGUAAGUUCCGACCUGCACGAAUGGCGUAAUGAUGGCCAGGCUGUCUCCACCCGAGACUCAGUGAAAUUGAACUCGCUGUGAAGAUGCAGUGUACCCGCGGCAAGACGGAAAGACCCCGUGAACCUUUACUAUAGCUUGACACUGAACAUUGAGCCUUGAUGUGUAGGAUAGGUGGGAGGCUUUGAAGCGUGGACGCCAGUCUGCGUGGAGCCAACCUUGAAAUACCACCCUUUAAUGUUUGAUGUUCUAACGUUGGCCCCUUACCGGGGUUGCGGACAGUGUCUGGUGGGUAGUUUGACUGGGGCGGUCUCCUCCCAAAGCGUAACGGAGGAGCACGAAGGUUAGCUAAUCCUGGUCGGACAUCAGGAGGUUAGUGCAAUGGCAUAAGCUAGCUUGACUGCGAGCGUGACGGCGCGAGCAGGUGCGAAAGCAGGUCAUAGUGAUCCGGUGGUUCUGAAUGGAAGGGCCAUCGCUCAACGGAUAAAAGGUACUCCGGGGAUAACAGGCUGAUACCGCCCAAGAGUUCAUAUCGACGGCGGUGUUUGGCACCUCGAUGUCGGCUCAUCACAUCCUGGGGCUGAAGUAGGUCCCAAGGGUAUGGCUGUUCGCCAUUUAAAGUGGUACGCGAGCUGGGUUUAGAACGUCGUGAGACAGUUCGGUCCCUAUCUGCCGUGGGCGCUGGAGAAUUGAGGGGGGCUGCUCCUAGUACGAGAGGACCGGAGUGGACGCAUCACUGGUGUUCGGGUUGUCAUGCCAAUGGCACUGCCCGGUAGCUAAAUGCGGAAGAGAUAAGUGCUGAAAGCAUCUAAGCACGAAACUUGCCCCGAGAUGAGUUCUCCCUGAGACUUUAAGUCUCCUGAAGGAACGUUGAAGACGACGACGUUGAUAGGCCGGGUGUGUAAGCGCAGCGAUGCGUUGAGCUAACCGGUACUAAUGAACCGUGAGGCUUAACCUU